rnacentral:rRNA from 1 species
UGUGAGCUCGAUGAGUAGGGCGGGACACGUGGUAUCCUGUCUGAAUAUGGGGGGACCAUCCUCCAAGGCUAAAUACUCCUGACUGACCGAUAGUGAACCAGUACCGUGAGGGAAAGGCGAAAAGAACCCCGGCGAGGGGAGUGAAAAAGAACCUGAAACCGUGUACGUACAAGCAGUGGGAGCCUCUUUUAUGGGGUGACUGCGUACCUUUUGUAUAAUGGGUCAGCGACUUAUAUUCUGUAGCAAGGUUAACCGAAUAGGGGAGCCGAAGGGAAACCGAGUCUUAACUGGGCGUUAAGUUGCAGGGUAUAGACCCGAAACCCGGUGAUCUAGCCAUGGGCAGGUUGAAGGUUGGGUAACACUAACUGGAGGACCGAACCGACUAAUGUUGAAAAAUUAGCGGAUGACUUGUGGCUGGGGGUGAAAGGCCAAUCAAACCGGGAGAUAGCUGGUUCUCCCCGAAAGCUAUUUAGGUAGCGCCUCGUGAAUUCAUCUCCGGGGGUAGAGCACUGUUUCGGCAAGGGGGUCAUCCCGACUUACCAACCCGAUGCAAACUGCGAAUACCGGAGAAUGUUAUCACGGGAGACACACGGCGGGUGCUAACGUCCGUCGUGAAGAGGGAAACAACCCAGACCGCCAGCUAAGGUCCCAAAGUCAUGGUUAAGUGGGAAACGAUGUGGGAAGGCCCAGACAGCCAGGAUGUUGGCUUAGAAGCAGCCAUCAUUUAAAGAAAGCGUAAUAGCUCACUGGUCGAGUCGGCCUGCGCGGAAGAUGUAACGGGGCUAAACCAUGCACCGAAGCUGCGGCAGCGACACUAUGUGUUGUUGGGUAGGGGAGCGUUCUGUAAGCCUGUGAAGGUGUACUGUGAGGUAUGCUGGAGGUAUCAGAAGUGCGAAUGCUGACAUAAGUAACGAUAAAGCGGGUGAAAAGCCCGCUCGCCGGAAGACCAAGGGUUCCUGUCCAACGUUAAUCGGGGCAGGGUGAGUCGACCCCUAAGGCGAGGCCGAAAGGCGUAGUCGAUGGGAAACAGGUUAAUAUUCCUGUACUUGGUGUUACUGCGAAGGGGGGACGGAGAAGGCUAUGUUGGCCGGGCGACGGUUGUCCCGGUUUAAGCGUGUAGGCUGGUUUUCCAGGCAAAUCCGGAAAAUCAAGGCUGAGGCGUGAUGACGAGGCACUACGGUGCUGAAGCAACAAAUGCCCUGCUUCCAGGAAAAGCCUCUAAGCAUCAGGUAACAUCAAAUCGUACCCCAAACCGACACAGGUGGUCAGGUAGAGAAUACCAAGGCGCUUGAGAGAACUCGGGUGAAGGAACUAGGCAAAAUGGUGCCGUAACUUCGGGAGAAGGCACGCUGAUAUGUAGGUGAAGUCCCU